rnacentral:lncRNA from 1 species
UUUGUCAAUUUCAAUGCAAAUGUGUUGUUUUUUUAUGACAGAGUUAAACUCACUAGGUUUGUGAGAUUAUUAAAAUGAAUAUUUGUCAUUAUACCCUCCCAAUAAUUCUCAAGUAGUUUUAGAUAAUACAAAUUGGUAAGUUGACUGAUACAUUCAGGAAUUAUACCAGUCAUCAUGUUAUUCUCCAAGCUCAGAUGAUUUAGAUUUGAUAAGUUUCCUAUAGAGGUUGGUAUAUGACCUGAGAUACCUGAGUGUGAAUUGACAGAGUUGUUUGAAAGAUCAAGAAAGAACAAACUGUUAAAUUGCCCUAAAGAAUGAGGCAAUUUCCCAGUUAGUUGAUUAAACCUUAAAUCUAAAAACUCUAGGCUUUGGUUGCUAC